UACGUAGGGGGCAAGCGUUGUCCGGAAUCAUUGGGCGUAAAGAGCGUGUAGGCGGUUCGAUAAGUCGGCUGUGAAAGUCCAGGGCUCAACCCUGGGAUGCCGGUCGAUACUGCCGGACUAGAGUUCGGAAGAGGCGAGUGGAAUUCCCGGUGUAGCGGUGAAAUGCGCAGAUAUCAGGAGGAACACCGGUGGCGAAGGCGGUUCUCUGGGCAUUACCUGACGCUGAGGAGCGAAAGUGUGGGGAGCGAACAGG
rnacentral:rRNA from 1 species